UACAGAGGGCUCAAGCGUUGUUCGGAUUCAUUGGGCGUAAAGGGUGCGUAGGCGGCGCGGUAAGUCGGGUGUGAAAUCUUGGAGCUUAACUCCGAAACUGCAUUCGAUACUGCCGUGCUUGAGGACUGGAGAGGAGACUGGAAUUUACGGUGUAGCGGUGAAAUGCGUAGAUAUCAGGAGGAACACCAAUGGCGAAGGCAGCUCGCUGGGACGGUACUGACGCUGAGGCGCGAAAGCGUGGGGAGCAAACAGG
rnacentral:rRNA from 1 species